CAGCAGCCGCGGUAAUACGAAGGGGGCUAGCGUUGCUCGGAAUGACUGGGCGUAAAGGGCUCGCAGGCGGUUUCUUAAGUCUGAUGUGAAAGCCCCCGGCUCAACCGGGGAGGGUCAUUGGAAACUGGGAAACUUGAGUGCAGAAGAGGAGAGUGGAAUUCCACGUGUAGCGGUGAAAUGCGUAGAGAUGUGGAGGAACACCAGUGGCGAAGGCGACUCUCUGGUCUGUAACUGACGCUGAGGAGCGAAAGCGUGGGGAGCGAACAGGAUUAGAUACCCCAGUAGUCCCUGUCUCUUAUAA
rnacentral:rRNA from 1 species